CCUACGGGUGGCAGCAGUAGGGAAUCUUUCACAAUGGGCGAAAGCCUGAUGGAGCAACGCCGCGUGCAGGAUGAAGGCCUUCGGGUUGUAAAGUUCUGUGAUGGGGGAUGAACACAAUGACGGUACCCCAAUAGCAAGCCACGGCUAACUACGUGCCAGCCGCCGCGGUAAUACGUAGGUGGCAAGCGUUAUCCGGAAUGACUGGGCGUAAAGGGUGCGUAGGGGGUUUAGUAAGUUGGCGGUGUAAUUCCGGGGCUCAACCUCGGCGCUACCGCCAAAACUAUUAGACUAGAGUGCAGGAGGGGUAAGUGGAAUUCCUAGUGUAGCGGUGGAAUGCGUAGAUAUUAGGAGGAACAUCAGGGGCGAAGGCGACUUACUGGACUGUAACUGACACUGAGGCACGAAAGCGUGGGGAGCAAACAGGAUUAGAUACCCGAGUAGUC
rnacentral:rRNA from 1 species